UGCAAGUCGAGCGCGGGAAGCGAGUGGAUCCCUUCGGGGUGAAGCUCGUGGAACGAGCGGCGGACGGGUGAGUAACACGUGGGCAACCUGCCUGUAAGAUCGGAAUAACCCCGGGAAACCGGGGCUAAUGCCGGGUAAUACUUUCUUUCGCAUGAAGGAAAGUUGAAAGAUGGCUUCUCGCUAUCACUUACAGAUGGGCCCGCGGCGCAUUAGCUAGUUGGUGAGGUAACGGCUCACCAAGGCGACGAUGCGUAGCCGACCUGAGAGGGUGAUCGGCCACACUGGGACUGAGACACGGCCCAGACUCCUACGGGAGGCAGCAGUAGGGAAUCUUCCGCAAUGGACGAAAGUCUGACGGAGCAACGCCGCGUGAACGAUGAAGGUCUUCGGAUCGUAAAGUUCUGUUGUUAGGGAAGAACAAGUACCGUGCGAAUAGAGCGGUACCUUGACGGUACCUAACGAGGAAGCCCCGGCUAACUACGUGCCAGCAGCCGCGGUAAUACGUAGGGGGCAAGCGUUGUCCGGAAUUAUUGGGCGUAAAGCGCGCGCAGGCGGUUCCUUAAGUCUGAUGUGAAAGCCCACGGCUCAACCGUGGAGGGUCAUUGGAAACUGGGGAACUUGAGGACAGAAGAGGAGAGUGGAAUUCCACGUGUAGCGGUGAAAUGCGUAGAUAUGUGGAGGAACACCAGUGGCGAAGGCGACUCUCUGGUCUGUUUCUGACGCUGAGGUGCGAAAGCGUGGGUAGCAAACAGGAUUAGAUACCCUGGUAGUCCACGCCGUAAACGAUGAGUGCUAGGUGU
rnacentral:rRNA from 1 species